GUACACUCCUGCGGGAGGCAGCAGUGGGGAAUUUUGGACAAUGGGCGAAAGCCUGAUCCAGCAAUGCCGCGUGAGUGAAGAAGGCCUUCGGGUUGUAAAGCUCUUUUGUCAGGGAAGAAACGGUGAAAGCUAAUAUCUUUUGCUAAUGACGGUACCUGAAGAAUAAGCACCGGCUAAUUACGUGCCAGCAGCCGCGGUAAUACGUAGGGUGCAAGCGUUAAUCGGAAUUACUGGGCGUAAAGCGUGCGCAGGCGGUUUUGUAAGUCUGAUGUGAAAUCCCCGGGCUCAACCUGGGAAUUGCAUUGGAGACUGCAAGGCUAGAAUCUGGCAGAGGGGGGUAGAAUUCCACGUGUAGCAGUGAAAUGCGUAGAUAUGUGGAGGAACACCGAUGGCGAAGGCAGCCCCCUGGGUCAAGAUUGACGCUCAUGCACGAAAGCGUGGGGAGCAAACAGGAUUAGAUACCCGGGUAGUCCCAUGAU
rnacentral:rRNA from 1 species